rnacentral:rRNA from 1 species
UGAGGAAUAUUGGUCAAUGGACGAGAGUCUGAACCAGCCAAGUAGCGUGAAGGAUGACUGCCCUAUGGGUUGUAAACUUCUUUUAUACGGGAAUAAAGUGAGGCACGUGUGCCUUUUUGUAUGUACCGUAUGAAUAAGGAUCGGCUAACUCCGUGCCAGCAGCCGCGGUAAUACGGAGGAUCCGAGCGUUAUCCGGAUUUAUUGGGUUUAAAGGGAGCGUAGGCGGACGCUUAAGUCAGUUGUGAAAGUUUGCGGCUCAACCGUAAAAUUGCAGUUGAUACUGGGUGUCUUGAGUACAGUAGAGGCAGGCGGAAUUCGUGGUGUAGCGGUGAAAUGCUUAGAUAUCACGAAGAACUCCGAUUGCGAAGGCAGCUUGCUGGACUGUAACUGACGCUGAUGCUCGAAAGUGUGGGUAUCAAACAGGAUUAGAUACCCUGGUAGUCCACACAGUAAACGAUGAAUACUCGCUGUUUGCGAUAUACAGUAAGCGGCCAAGCGAAAGCGUUAAGUAUUCCACCUGGGGAGUACGCCGGCAACGGUGAAACUCAAAGGAAUUGACGGGGGCCCGCACAAGCGGAGGAACAUGUGGUUUAAUUCGAUGAUACGCGAGGAACCUUACCCGGGCUUGAAUUGCAACUGAAUGAUGUGGAGACAUGUCAGCCGCAAGGCAGUUGUGAAGGUGCUGCAUGGUUGUCGUCAGCUCGUGCCGUGAGGUGUCGGCUUAAAUGCCAUAACGAGCGCAACCCUUAUCGAUAGUUACCAUCAGGUGAUGCUGGGGACUCUGUCGAGACUGCCGUCGUAAGAUGUGAGGAAGGUGGGGAUGACGUCAAAUCAGCACGGCCCUUACGUCCGGGGCUACACACGUGUUACAAUGGGGGGUACAGAAGGCAGCUACACGGCGACGUGAUGCUAAUCCCGAAAGCCUCUCUCAGUUCGGAUUGGAGUCUGCAACCCGACUCCAUGAAGCUGGAUUCGCUAGUAAUCGCGCAUCAGCCACGGCGCGGUGAAUACGUUCCC